GAACGUGAAGCGGGGCUCACGCCCCGUGGAAAGUGGCGGACGGGUGAGUAUCGCGUGGGAACCUGCCCGGUGGUACGGAAUAACCGCGGGAAACUGCGGCUAAUACCGUAUGUGCCCUUCGAGGUAGUACUCGGGGGGGAAAGAUUCAUCACCAUCGGAGGGGCCCGCGUCGGAUUAGCUUGUUGGUGGGGUAACGGCCUACCAAGGCGACGAUCCGUAGCUGGUCUGAGAGGAUGAUCAGCCACACUGGGACUGAGACACGGCCCAGACUCCUACGGGAGGCAGCAGUGGGGAAUAUUGGACAAUGGGGGCAACCCUGAUCCAGCAAUGCCGCGUGAGUGAAGAAGGCCUUAGGGUUGUAAAGCUCUUUCACCCGUGAAGAUGAUGACGGUAGCGGGAGAAGAAGCCCCGGCUAACUCCGUGCCAGCAGCCGCGGUAAUACGGAGGGGGCUAGCGUUGUUCGGAAUUACUGGGCGUAAAGCGCGCGUAGGCGGCCUGCCAAGUCGGUCGUGAAAGCCCGGGGCUCAACCCCGGAGGUGCGUCCGAUACUGGCGGGCUCG
rnacentral:rRNA from 1 species